CAGUAGCCGCGGUAAUACGAAGGGGGCUAGCGUUGUUCGGAAUCACUGGGCGUAAAGCGCACGUAGGCGGAUUUUUAAGUCAGGGGUGAAAUCCCGAGGCUCAACCUCGGAACUGCCUUUGAUACUGGAAAUCUUGAGUCCGGGAGAGGUGAGUGGAACUGCGAGUGUAGAGGUGAAAUACGUAGAUAUUCGCAAGAACACCAGUGGCGAAGGCGGCUCACUGGCCCGGAACUGACGCUGAGGUGCGAAAGCGUGGGGAGCAAACAGGAUUAGAUACCCCGGUAGUCCCUGUCUCUUAUAC
rnacentral:rRNA from 1 species